CACAUGCAAGUCGAGGGGAAACGACAUCGAAAGCUUGCUUUUGAUGGGCGUCGACCGGCGCACGGGUGAGUAACGCGUAUCCAACCUGCCCACCACUUGGGGAUAACCUUGCGAAAGUAAGACUAAUACCCAAUGAUAUCUCUAGAAGACAUCUGAAAGAGAUUAAAGAUUUAUCGGUGAUGGAUGGGGAUGCGUCUGAUUAGCUUGUUGGCGGGGUAACGGCCCACCAAGGCGACGAUCAGUAGGGGUUCUGAGAGGAAGGUCCCCCACAUUGGAACUGAGACACGGUCCAAACUCCUACGGGAGGCAGCAGUGAGGAAUAUUGGUCAAUGGACGAGAGUCUGAACCAGCCAAGUAGCGUGCAGGAUGACGGCCCUAUGGGUUGUAAACUGCUUUUAUAAGGGAAUAAAGUGAGUCUCGUGAGACUUUUUGCAUGUACCUUAUGAAUAAGGACCGGCUAAUUCCGUGCCAGCAGCCGCGGUAAUACGGAAGGUCCGGGCGUUAUCCGGAUUUAUUGGGUUUAAAGGGAGCGUAGGCCGGAGAUUAAGCGUGUUGUGAAGUGUAGAUGCUCAACAUCUGCACUGCAGCGCGAACUGGUUUCCUUGAGUACGCACAAAGUGGGCGGAAUUCGUGGUGUAGCGGUGAAAUGCUUAGAUAUC
rnacentral:rRNA from 1 species